CUUUCUUUGUCAUAUUUUCCCUGUCUUCGGUCAUAGAUGAAAUGCAGGAUUGUUUUUUUUUCCUUUACAAUAAUCUGUACUGCACACCUAUAGAAUACAGAUACCAAUCUAUUAUUAAAAUUCAUUGCCAAGUAUUCAAUUUUGAACAGAACUUUCUCCUGUUGACUAUCUUAGUAGCUAAAAAAAAAAAUUAUCAGAUUUAAAUCCAGUAACUGGUAUGAUACUUAUGAUACAUCUUCUAUUUGUUUAAGCAGCAUAACCUAAUGUCAAGUAAAAAGAAAAGUAUAGCUGGUUUUUGGGAAAAUCAUAAAUAAUUUUUAAAAUUUAGUCUAUAAAUUUUUUAAGAAGUAUAUAUAUUCUUUUGGAAAUCAUUUAGAAACCCUUGUAUCUCCUAAUAAGUUAAGUGAGAUUAUGUGUGGGUCAAGACAGUCUGAAAAGGGCGUAUGUGUGAAUAUAUGUGUAUCUAUGAUUGCAUAUGUGUCUCUGGGGAGGAGUGUGUCUGUGUGUGUGGAGUGUGUGUCUAUGUAUCUGGGUGCCUGUGGAUGUGGAGAGGACAGAGCAUGGGGAAAAACCAUACUCCUACAA
rnacentral:lncRNA from 10 species